rnacentral:ncRNA from 23 species
AGUGCGCUAUAUGACUGACGGAAGUGGGUUGACCACAUGGAGUAUAGCGGACAUGAGCCGACCGUCUGGGCACGCUGC